rnacentral:rRNA from 1 species
UCCUUCCUACGGGGCGCAGCAGUGGGGAAUAUUGCGCAAUGGGGGCAACCCUGACGCAGCAACGCCGCGUGAUUGCCUCCGGCCUUCGGGUUGUCCCGCUCUUUCCUCGGGGCCUCCUUUUGCCGGUCCCCGCCGCCUAAGCUCCGGCUAACUCCGUGCCAGCCGCCGCGGUCCUCCGUCGGUGGCCCGCGUUCUCCGGCUUUCCUGGGUGUCCCGGGCGUGUCGGCGGGCCUGCCCGUC